GGUGGUUUUCAGGUGAUGCACCCCAGAAUCGGGCUCCCUCCUCUCUGGUUCUGGGUGUAUCACCAGGAACCGCA
rfam:Myotis davidii contig16537, whole genome shotgun sequence.